AUCUUGGUGGCCCAAGGUCAUGGUGGUGGCAUCUCGGUGGCUUGGUGGUGGCUCCAGCUCACGGUGGCCCUGGCUUGGUGGUGGCCCCAGGUCAUUGGUGGCAUCUUGGUGGCCCAAGGUCAUGGUGGUGGCAUCUCAGUGGCUUGGUGGUGACCCCAGGUCACGGUGGCCCUGUCUCGGUGGUGGCCCCAGCUUCUUGGUGGCAUCUUGGUGGCCCCAGCUCGUUGAUGUCCCCAACUCAUGGUGGCCCCAGGUCGUUGGUGCCAUCUUGGUGGCUCCAGGUCAUGGUGGCCCUGUCUUGGUGGUGGCCCCAGGUCGUUGGUGGCAUCUUGGUGGCUCAUGGUGGCCCUGGCUCAGUGGUGACCCCAGCUUCUUGGUGGCAUCUUGGUGGCUCAUGGUGGCCCCAGCUCAUUGAUGUCCCCAACUCAUAGUGGCCCCAGGUCAUUGGUGGCCCCUCUGUGCCUUGUUGAUGUCCCC
rnacentral:lncRNA from 1 species